UUUCUCAUCCACUGCUGGCGAGCUGCUCGCCUCAGGCUUGCAUCCCAGCGAAUUGACAAGCCCAAGACUUCCCUGCCCACCGUCUUCCUGCCAUCACUGCAGAUCUUUGAGCUUCUUCCCCCUGUGGAAGACCAGUGUGGGAGUGGUGUGGACAGAAGCAUGGACUGGCU